CUAGUGGGUAAAUAAUAAUAGCGGAUUCGAUGUGAACUGAAAAAUUAAGUUUUCGAACCAGGUAGGUUCUAUUUAGCUAAUAGGCUUUUGGUGAUAAUUUAGUAAACAGAUUAAUGAGCGAUAUAAUUUCAUAACAGAGGAAAUAUUUAUAAAAUUAAUAGAAACGUAUAAAAACGGAGAGUUUUAAAUUUACCUAAGGGGGGGGUCAUGUGACCAUUAGAGAAUCGAAUAUGUAUUCGUAUAAUUAUGGUUAAAUUUUGCAAGGUUUUAAUUGCUUGUUAACUUCGUAGUAGAUCAUAAAGAGGAGUAAUUUCGAAGAGAAAGCGGUGCUUAAUGGAAAUUCGGACUGCCGUAUUCGGAGAUUUUCAUCUAGAACUUAUGCCGAUACGUAAUGUUGAUCAUCUAAACUGGGAUUGGGUAUGAAAGUUAAUCAGGAAAUCGCGACUUUUAAGAUCGGUAAGUGGUGUUAAUUUAGAAUUCGAUGUACUUAAAUUUACAAGAAUUGAUGCUUUGUGAAAUAUUGUUUCAGAUAUUCAACUCGUGAAUUAGAUUGAUAUUAGAAACUAAUGGGAAACGACUAAAUAACAUUCAACGUUGUUGUUGGCUGGAAAAUCGACUGUAAUUAUUAUUAGGUAAGUUGGUUUGAUUAAUUUGUUUGAUUAAUUUGAAUUCAAUCGAAUUGAGCUAAUCGUGAAUAAUUUAAUAGGCUUCGAGUAGUUUGUGGUUAAUCUUCAAAAUACUACUGAGGAAUGGGAUCGAAGUAAUAGUAAUAUGUCUCGGUAGUUAUCAAAACAAUUGACUUGUUAAUUAAUCAGCUGUAAUUUUGUUUAGGGUGUACGAAUGGAUGAAUCGAACGUCGAAUGAUAUGAUUAUGGAUGUUUUCGAAAGCUUAUCAGGAAGUUAAAUGCGAAUCAAGAUGAAACUUUAUCUUUCAGGUAAACGAAUAAGGAUAGAUGAUGAUCGCGAAAUUUGAAACUUCGAAGAAGCUAUUAACGUACGAGCUCAUCACAAUGGACGAUUUUAAUUUAAUUAGCAAAUCACGAAAGUUAACGAACGAAUUUGUAGUAAUGUUGGUGUAAGGAUUAAAUAAACAAAGUCUUGCUCUUCUAUAAGCAUACGAGCGCAUCGCAUCGGAUGAUUUUAUUAAUGGCAAAUCAGGACGUAGAAUCGAACGAUUUAGUAAGUAAAUGGAAUUUAUGUGAAGAUGAUUUUGAGCUGAUCGUUGAUUACAAUUAUAUCUUUAAUCGAAUCAAUCUAAUUAAAUCUUGGUGGUUAUUCCAGGUUAGAGAUCGCGAGCUAGGUAAAUUUGAGUAAUUUAGAAUGAGCUUUAGAAACCAUUUGCUAGUGAUUAUAGUGAUAUCGCGAACGUAACGUUAUUUAGAAUGAUCGUUGAUCUGAUCGAUAAUUUCGGUGUAGGGACUAAAUAAACGAUGUCUAAUGUUAUUUAAUCGUUUUAGGUUGAUGGUGGAUAAUUUAGUGGCAUUUAAACACGAUUAUCAUCGAUUGAGGAGUAAUAAGUAAUUUGAAGCCGAAAGAAUACGGUAAUUUAAUAAUCACGAUUUGAAAAAUUAGCUACUGAGUCGAAUGGUGAGUAAUAAGAUCGAUUUAACAUGGGAUAUUCUAAUGUUUAAACGAUGUCUAGUUUUAUUUAUUUGUAGGGACUAAAUAUACGAAGUCUAUCGUU